GAUGAACGCUGGCGGCGUGCUUAGCACAUGCAAGUCGAACGAAGCACUUUAUUUGAUUUCCUUCGGGACUGAUUAUUUUGUGACUGAGUGGCGGACGGGUGAGUAACGCGUGGGUAACCUGCCUUGUACAGGGGGAUAACAGUUGGAAACGGCUGCUAAUACCGCAUAAGCGCACGGCAUCGCAUGAUGCAGUGUGAAAAACUCCGGUGGUAUAAGAUGGACCCGCGUUGGAUUAGCUAGUUGGUGAGGUAACGGCCCACCAAGGCGACGAUCCAUAGCCGACCUGAGAGGGUGACCGGCCACAUUGGGACUGAGACACGGCCCAAACUCCUACGGGAGGCAGCAGUGGGGAAUAUUGCACAAUGGGCGAAAGCCUGAUGCAGCGACGCCGCGUGAGCGAAGAAGUAUUUCGGUAUGUAAAGCUCUAUCAGCAGGGAAGAUAAUGACGGUACCUGACUAAGAAGCACCGGCUAAAUACGUG
rnacentral:rRNA from 1 species